UUGACAGCUCUGAAUAUUUAAGUUCUUUAUUUAUCCAUAGAUUAGGUAUAACAGCACAGACAGCGGCGGGGAAUGCUUACCUGCAGUUCUGUGCCAAUAUGUUUCAAUCCUAGCCUGGAGGAACCACCUCUUAGGGUGAGAGGUUAGUUCAGCAUCUGCACACACAAAAUUCUUGUCUAUG
rnacentral:sRNA from 1 species